rnacentral:rRNA from 1 species
GGAUGUACGGUGAAGAAUUUCGGUCAAAUCAUGUGCAUCUUUAGUGGCGGACGGGUGAGUAACGCGUGGGUAACCUGCCUUACACAGGGGGAUAACACUUAGAAAUAGGUGCUAAUACCGCAUGAGCGCACAGGACCGCAUGGUCGAGUGUGAAAAACUGAGGUGGUGUAAGAUGGACCCGCGUCUGAUUAGCUGGUUGGUGAGGUAACGGCCCACCAAGGCGACGAUCAGUAGCCGGCCUGAGAGGGUGGACGGCCACAUUGGGACUGAGACACGGCCCAAACUCCUACGGGAGGCAGCAGUGGGGGAUAUUGGACAAUGGGGGGAACCCUGAUCCAGCGACGCCGCGUGAGUGAAGAAGUAUCUCGGUAUGUAAAGCUCUAUCAGCAGGGAAGAAGAAAUGACGGUACCUGAGUAAGAAGCCCCGGCUAACUACGUGCCAGCAGCCGCGGUAAUACGUAGGGGGCAAGCGUUAUCCGGAAUUACUGGGUGUAAAGGGAGCGUAGACGGUGAUGUAAGUCUGGAGUGAAAGGCGGGGGCCCAACCCCCGGACUGCUCUGGAAACUAUGUGACUGGAGUGCAGGAGAGGUGAGCGGAAUUCCUAGUGUAGCGGUGAAAUGCGUAGAUAUUAGGAGGAACACCAGUGGCGAAGGCGGCUCACUGGACUGUAACUGACGUUGAGGCUCGAAAGCGUGGGGAGCAAACAGGAUUAGAUACCCUGGUAGUCCACGCCGUAAACGAUGAUCACUAGGUGUGGGUGGGUAUGG